rnacentral:rRNA from 1 species
AUUGAACGCUGGCGGCGCGCCUAAUACAUGCAAGUCGAGCGAGAAGGUGUAGCAAUACACUUGUAAAGCGGCGAACGGGUGAGGAAUGCAUGGGUAACCUACCCUCGAGUGGGGAAUAACUAGCCGAAAGGUUAGCUAAUACCGCAUACGUUUCCGGAACUUCGGUUUCGGAAAGAAAGCAAUACCGUGGGUAUUGCGCUCCUGGAUGGGCUCAUGUCCUAUCAGCUUGUUGGUGAGGUAACGGCUCACCAAGGCUUCGACGGGUAGCUGGUCUGAGAGGACGAUCAGCCACACUGGCACUGCGACACGGGCCAGACUCCUACGGAGGCAGCAGUAAGGGAAUAUU